rnacentral:piRNA from 1 species
GGAAAUCCUCCUUGCUAUGUGUAAGC